rnacentral:lncRNA from 1 species
ACAUCAUAGGGACAUCCCAAGGGACACUCAGGGGACACCAAAGGCACCCAGAGGACACAGAGACACUCCUAGGGACACCCAGGGGACAUGGGGACAUCAUAGGGACAUCCCAAGGGACACCCAGGGGACAUGGGGACACCCAGGGGACACCGAAGGGACACCCAGACUCCCUUGGGGACACAGCCACCCCCGUGGGGACCCCCAGACCCGUCUGGGGACACUUUGGGACCCCCAGACCUCCUGGGGAACCUCCAGAGCCUCGAGGGGACAAUUUGGGGACACCCGGACCCCCUUGGGGACCCUCAGACCCCCUUGGAGACACGGCCACCCCCUUGGGGACACUUUGGGGACCCCCAGACCUCCUUGGGGACAUGGCCACCCCCGUUGGGACCCCCCCAGAGCCCCUUGGGGACACUUUGGGGACCCUCAAACCCCCCUGGGGACACAGCCACCCCCCCUUGGGGGCACCUUGUGGACCCCCAGACCUUCUUGGGGACGCAGCCACCCCCCCCUUGGGGACACUUUGGGGACACCCCAGAGCCCUUUGGGGACACUUUGGGGACACCCAGACCCCCUUGGGGUCACCCAGACCCCCCUGGGGACACUUUGGGGACACCCCAGAGCCCUUUGGGGACACUCUGGGGACUCCCAGACCCCCCUGGGGACACUUUGGGGACCCCCAGGCCCCAUUGGGGACACCCAAACCCCCUUGGGGACACCCAGACCCCCCUGGGGACACUUUGGGGACACCCCAGAGCCCUUUGGGGACACUCUGGGGACUCCCAGACCCCCCUGGGGACACUUUGGGGACCCCCAGGCCCCAUUGGGGACACCCAAACCCCCUGACCUCCUUGGGGACAUGGCCACCCCCGUCAGGACCCCCCCAGAGCCCCUUGGGGACACUUUGGGGACCCUCAAACCCCCCUGGGGACGCAGCCACCCCCCCUUGGGGACACUUUGGGGACACUGGGGNNNNNNNNNNNNNNNNNNNNNNNNNNNNNNNNNNNNNNNNNNNNNGAACUCCAGUUUGAUGGGGGGGGGGAAAUGGGAGGAGACCCAGAGCGCCGCCUCGCGGCCCAGCGCCAUCGCCUCCGCCACCGUGGGGACACCGAGGUGACACAUCACCGAGUCCGUGUCACCGUACACCACCUGGGGGGGGACAGCGGCGGGGACAUUGGGGACAUGGGGGACAAUGGGGACAAUGGGGGCAAUGGGGGCAUUAUAGGGACAUUGGGGACAUUAUGGGGACUUUGGGGACACCGAGGUGACACAUCACCGAGUCCGUGUCACCGUACAGCACCUGGGGGGGACAGCAGCGGGGACAUUGGGGACAUGGGGACAUUGGGGACAAUGGGGGCAGUGGGGGCAAUGGGGGUAAUGGGGGCAUUGGGGACAUUAUAGGGACAUUGGGGACAUUAUGGGGACAUUAGGGACAGUGG